AAUCACCCCUCCAGGAGUCUCUUAAUCUAGUCAAGUUAACAACUGAGAUUAACUGGGACAGCUGGUGAUGAAAGGGGAGGCAUGCCUUCCUAGCAUGCCAAUGGCCCUGGGUUCAAUCCCCAGCACCACUGCCACCCAUUCCUUGAUUAACUUCUUAGGAUGAAAUGUUUCAAACAUCCACAAAUACAGUGGUUAAAGCUGCAUUUUAAACCAGGCCUCAUUUCACCAGUUCUGGAUUGCUGGCCCCCAACCUCCCCACUUGGAUCAGAAUCAAGGCAAUGAGUGGUGAUGAUGAUAAUUGUCAUAAUAAUAGCAUGACAACAGCUAACAUUACUGCCUACUGGGGCUUAUGCUAAUAACUAAAAAGUCCCUGAAACCUAAACAGCCCCACAAGGAAUCACCAACCCAAUCCAACGCAGAAGAAGUCUAAGCUUUGUGAUAAUUCUGUACCAACCUCCAAAAGUGGUCCCAAUUUACACUUCUGCCAAUAGGGCCUAGGAAGGCCUAUUUUGUCCACAUUUUUGCCUACACUGGACUUUACUUUUUAAAAAACCUACCUGUUAUGUAUGCUAAUAAGAUGUGCCAUUGCUUUUUCCAAUGGCAUUUCUUUAAUUUCAUUGUCUUUAGCCUCUGUCUGAAACUGUGACCCAACUUGUUAGAGUCAAAUGUUUUGCCAGUCCUAUGUUGUCCUACCCUGUUGUCCUAUGUGUCAGCACAAGAGGCACAUAGGAGAAGCUGAGUGAUCAAGUUAAGGGGCCCACCUUUGACCUUAGAAACAAGUCUUACCUGGACACAGGGUGCCCUGGAAUGUAGGUAUCACUCAGCCUACCUGAUGGAUGAAGAAAUUGAGACAGGUGGCCUCCACUAAGUUUUUGAUUCUGGCACUUCCUCUCUGUCCCUAACCUGCAUUCUGCUAUGUGUAAAAUUAUUAUACAUGAAGCUUCAACUCCAUAUAAGAAAUAUGAAGAUGGCGCCUGCCUCACAAGAGCAAGGUCCCGAGUUCGAUCUCCGGUACCAAAAAAAAAAAAAGAAAUAUGAAGAGAACUACAGCACGGUAAAUCAUAAUCCAAUUGAUCAAAUUCAGUGGUAAAGAAAAGUCUUAUAAGUAGCCAUUAAAAAAAAAUUAAGCUAAAGGGCUGGGGAUUUAGCUCAGUGGUGCCGCCGCCUUCCUGGAAAGCGCAAGGUCCUGAGUUUGAUCCCUGGUACAAAAAAAAAAAAGAAGCAUGCUACAUACUGAGGAAAAAAAGAUAAGAGUUUUAGCAAAUUUUGUGUUAAACCAAUGCAAUGGAACAAUAUCUUUAAAGUACUGAAAGAAAAAAAAAUCUGUACAUUUGGAAUUCUAUGUCCAGUAAUAGUAACUUAAAAAAAAAUGACUUUUUCAGACAUGGAAUAAUGGAAAUAAUUCAUCACCAGCCGGUCUACACUAUAAGAAAUGUUAACGUCUUUCAGGCUAAAGGAAUAUGAUACUAGAGAGAAACACAGUUCUGCAAAAAGCAAUGAAGCAUACUAGAAAUGGUAACUACAUGGAAAAAUAUAUACAAUUAUUUUUCUCAAUACUUCUAUCAAAAAUAACUGACCAGUGGUUCUGCCGCCUACCUCGCAGGCGCAAAGUUCCAAGUUCGAUCCCCGGUACCAAAACAAAAACAAAAAAACCCCUGACCAUUUAGAUACAAUAACAAUAUAGUGUUGUGUUUAUAAUGUACAUAAAAUAAAGUGCAUAUUAAAAAUAGCACAAGAGGGCCGGGGAUUUAGCUCAGUGGCACCGUGCCUACCUUGUAAGUGCAAGGUCCGGAGUUUGAUCCCCGGUACCAAAAAAAAAGAAAGAAAGAAAAAGAAAAGAAAAUAGCACAAGAACAGGACAGAAAUGGAAGUAUUGUAACAUUCUUUAUUAUAUAUGAAUGAUAUAUCACUUGAAAGUGAGCUGUGAUAAAUUAAAGAUGUAUAUUACAAACCAUGCAGCAAACACUAAAAUAACAAAAUUGAGUUAGAGAUAAUAAUCAACAUAAAGAUAAAACAGAAUGAUAAAAACAUUUAAUUCUAAAGGAGGCAGAAAAACAGGAAAAGAGGAACAAAGAAUAGAGAGGACAAAUAUAAAACAAAUAGCAAGAUAAAAGACUUAAGCCUCACUAUGCCAAUAAUCACAUUAAAUAAUAGUCUAAAUGUCCCAAAUAAAAGGCACAGACUUUCAGACUGGAUUUUUAAAAAAAGACCCAACUAUAUGUUGCCUACAAAAACUGAACUUCAAAUAUAAAAAUAUAACUAGGUUAAAAGAAAAAAGAUGGAGAAAUAUAGGCCAUUUUAACACUAAUCCACAGAAAAUCAGAAGGUUAUAGUAACAUCAAAAAAAGUGUAUUUCAGCAAUAAGGAAGGUCAUUUAAUAAAAAUAAACAAGUCAAUUCAUCAAGAUGAGUAAUAAUCCUAAACAUUUAUACAUCUACUAGCAAAUCUUCAAAAUAUAUGGAGAAAAAAUGAUCAGAAUGCAAGGAAAAAUAGACAAAUGCCCUAUUAUAGUCCGAGAUUUCUAUACUUCUCCCUCAUAAUUUCUAGAACAAGUGAACAGAAAAUAAGGAUACUGUUAUGGUUUGUGUCUAGAUGUCCCCCCUAAGCCUCAGGGGUCAUAGGUGGGGCUUUUCAGAGGUGGCUGGAUCUAGAGAGUGUGAUGCUGGG
rnacentral:lncRNA from 1 species